CAUCCUGACCUCCACAAUGACCACAUCUUUCAUCACGCUUCCUUUUUCCUACAAAAAGGGAGAUGACAGAUCAAUUUAGAAAACUCCACCUGUUUGGAUUCAAAUUAAAAUCUUUGCUAAUAUUGACUAAACCCCACCUGCAGCUGCCAGCGCAGAGUUUUUAUCUGUUGUCUAACGGUCAAUACCCCAAUAACGUUGCCCACGCAGAGAAAACCGUGUGCUGAUUUCAAUUCUUGAUAAAUACCCACUUCUGAACCAAUCUCUGCACCAUGCAAGCUCUCAGGAGAACGGGUUUGAAAAGAAGUAUUUUUGUGAAGGAUUGGAAUUUGUAAGUUUUAGCUUUGGCAACAUGUCAAACAUGGUUUUUAUCAGCUCAAUCAUGGUGAUGGUGUUGAGCAUGAUUGGUGUCAUGGGAGUGAGUGCUCAACAUGUUCCAUCCCCUGCGCCUGCCCCUACCAGCGAUGGGAGCACCAUAGAUCAAGGAAUUGCCUACAUUCUCAUGCUGGUGGCCCUGCUUCUCACCUAUUUCCUGCACUGAUUGAUGCCACACAAGACAGAAUAUGCUUUUCCACUUUUUUCGGAUCACAGAGAUUGUUUUGCUGAUGUAAAUUUGUAAGUUUGAUGUAAGGGCUACUGGAUCACCCCUGCUGUAAAUCAAGUUUCAGAAAGAUUGAUAUCCAAUUCUUUAUUCAUUA